UACGGGGGGGGUAAGCGUUGUUCGGAAUUACUGGGCGUAAAGGGCUCGUAGGCGGCCAACUAAGUCAGACGUGAAAUCCCUCAGCUUAACUGGGGAACUGCGUCUGAUACUGGAUGGCUUGGAUCCGGGAGAGGGAUGCGGAAUUCCAGGUGUAGCGGUGAAAUGCGUAGAUAUCUGGAGGAACACCGGUGGCGAAGGCGGCAUCCUGGACCGGUACUGACGCUGAGGCGCGAAAGCUAGGGGAGCAAACGGG
rnacentral:rRNA from 1 species